rnacentral:rRNA from 1 species
AUGACUUUCCGUGAGUUCAAAGGGGACCGAGGCGAGGUUGGCUUCCUGGAGUAUGUCUUUCAGAGUGCGCGGGCGCUGGAGAUGGUAGCUAUUUUCAUGGCCAAUCCAAGCUCCACGCCGUUCUCGGAGGACGAGGCGUUUGUCAAGGCGCAAUACAGCGCUAGAAACAUGAAGAGUAAAUCCUGCCAAAAGUGCAUCAUCGGGAGUAGCCAUCCUGCAGGACGCGAUGCUUGGAGCCUCAAAAUUGGGGCAGAUUUCAACUUUGAGGACCCGUUUACGGUGACGACGGUGGAGGAGGAAGCCAGCUGA